GCCCCCCUUGGUCGGCAGAUUUGUGCCCUUUGCAGCAGUGGCAGCUGCCAACUGCAUCAACAUCCCCCUGAUGAGGCAGAGAGAGCUGCAGGUGGGCAUCCCGGUGGCUGAUGAGGCAGGUCAGAGGCUUGGCUACUCGGUGACUGCAGCCAAGCAGGGAAUCUUCCAGGUGGUGAUUUCAAGAAUCUGCAUGGCGAUUCCUGCCAUGGCCAUCCCACCACUGAUCAUGGACACUCUGGAGAAGAAAGACUUCCUGAAGCCUCGCCUGAUUCUCUAAGACUUGCCAGCCCUUCUCCUGACCCCUGCACCGCCUCCUCCACCUUCGUUCAUUCAGCAAGAAUGAACUGGGCUGGGGUGAAGGAACUCUGCAGGGGCAGGAGGAGAGGACAAAGGAAGGAAACCAACUUCAUCAGUGUUACUCCAGUGGCUUCUGACACACAGAAGGGGACUGUCAUAGUCAUGCUUGAUCUCAUGCUCAUUCUUUUACCCCCUAGUGCCUCCAUACUGAGAGGUACACACGGGUGAACACGCACACACAGACAUGAACAGGACACGAAAGCAAAGCACAGGAACAAGCUCUGGCUCAUUCACAGAAUCAUUUAUUCACAAAUGUAUUGAGUGCCAUGCACCAGGCAUGUUUUAGGGCUGAGGAGAUGGCACUGAACACAAUGGUUAUGGCCCCUGUCCUCAUGAAGUUUAUAGUCUGAUGCAGAAACCAAUAAACAAGGAGGCACCCAAUAAAUACAUUCUUAGAAAGUGUAAUAUGUGCUUUGUAGGAAAGCAAUGGGGGUAGUGUAAUUGAGAUUCAUGGGGGAGAGCUGUUUAGAUAGGAUGAUCAGAGAAGGGGUCUUUAAUGCCGCAAAGGAUGAGGAGAGAGCCAAAUAACGCAGAGAAGAGUGUUUGGGGUACAGAAAACAGUCAGUGCAAGGGCACUGCAGUAGGAGGGGCUUGCACAUUUGAGGAACAGGUUGGUGGUCCCUGUGGCCAGAGCAAAUUGAGAAGAGUGCCGAGGAAGAGAUGUGCUUGGAAAGGGUCAGAUUCAUGCCACUGGGAUGGGAAGAGGUAAGUGGAGGUUCACAGGAGGUUUCCUGAAGAAAUCAGCUCCUGGAGGAAGUGAGGGAAGAAAAAAAAGGGCCAGGGAGUGCCAUGGCAACCAAUUCUGAGAGGUGAGAGGUCAUGGGAUGCCGGGGAGGGUGAUCAGCAGACAGGCCUGGCUGGAGUGGAAGGGCGUGAUCUGGAGGUCCCAGCCCUGUCAUUGCCUUGGGAGAAAGAAAACGGCCACAGGUCUAAGGGCUCCAAGGCAAGGCUGAUGGGAUAGAGCUAUGGUGGGUGAAAUGGGGUGACAGUGAGGCAGGGGACACAAGCCGUUCCAUUGUCUUUCUGUCUCUCCACAGCGCCGCCCCUGGCUGGGGGCACCCCUGCAGGUGGGACUGGUGGGCUUCUGCCUGGUAUUUGCAACCCCCCUGUGCUGUGCCCUAUUCCCCCAGAAGAGCUCCAUACACAUAAGCAACCUGGAACCAGAGCUGAGAGCUCAGAUCCAUGAGCAAAACCCCAGCGUUGAAGUGGUCUACUACAACAAGGGGCUUUGAGGAGGGUCAGCCUCUGUCCCCUCCCUCACUUCCUUGGGCUGCUGCUUUAGUGGAGUCAUGUCACCCCUACCACUUGGCUAUCUGCCUAGCACUGGGCAGGGGCCUUGGUGGGCAGAUGGCAAUUGAGGGUAGCAACCUAUUAGGGUGGGGGAGGGACCUCCAUAAGGCUUUUCCUCCCUUCUCUGGUUUCAAAGAUCAGAGCACAUAACCCCUCCUGUGCUUGAGUGUCCAUGCAUAUACAUACAUGAUACACAUGUGUAUGUGUACAUUGGGUCCUGAAAGCUAGAAGCAGGCAUGCUAGCCUAGUAUGUUCUGACAUCUGGCUUCCCUUCUCAGCCUCAUGUCCACCUGCCUGCCAGCCAGGCUACAGGUGUGACUUCCUUCUCUAAACUGUUACACCAGCCAAGUUAUUUUUGAUGGCACCUCAUCCCUUCUAGAAAUAGGAGGAGCCCCAGGAUCUCAGGACAGAGACUUAUAGACACUAGUAGGACAAAGCGGGCUGAAUCCUUCAGGUUUCUGAUACCUAGCUCCCCAAGCUGACUGGGCUGGCAGAGGAGAACAUGUUGAGACAAGGGAGGCAGGGGACUUAUGCAUCCCUCAGUGCCAUCCCUUGUAUCCUGGAAUAGCUCCAUUUCCCCUCCUCCUCUCUACCAGACAAAGGAGUGCCUGUGUCCUGUACUGCCCUCGCUGUCUCCCCCACCACCCUACUUGACAGCGUGGGCAUCUUCAGGCACAGCCUUGGGAGUUCCUGGUGUGCUCUGACAUCAUGACCUCAAAUCUAAAUCCUCCAAUCCCAACUCCCUUUCCCAAACAAAAAGCCACAGAGGCAGAGCAAGCAUUCCCCUUUAAGAGCUUCCACUGCACCCCCUCCCAAGGGACACAGCGGUAGGAAUGGUGCUUAAACUCCACAGGUAUCAGAGAGGGUGUAACUAGGACAUCCUCAAGGGCAGCUAGGCCCCGAAUGUACAAUGUUAAGACAGGGAAUUUUGUGUUCCAUUGACUUUUUUUUUUUUUUUUAAUGGAGUUUCACUAUUUUGCCCAGGCUGGAGUGCGAUGGUGCGAUCUUGGCUCACUGCAACCUCUGCCUCCUGGGUUCAAGUGAUUCUCUUGCCUCAGUCUCCCGAGUAGUGGAAAUUACAGGUGUGUGCUACCACAUCUUGCUAGUUUUGUAUUUUUAGCAGAGAUGGGGGUUUCACCAUGUUGGCCAGGCUAGUCUCGAACUCCUGACCUCAGGUGAUCCACCUGCCUUGGCCUCCCAAAGCACUGGGAUUACAAGCAUGAGCCACUGUGCCCAGCCUGUUCCACUGACAUUUCUUAGACAUUCAGCAAAACCCCCACCUUAACCUCUUUUCUUUCUUGAGGGUUGGUCCUGUCCCCACCUCCACCCUCCCACCCCCUGGAAGAGGAAGGGCCCGGGCAUCAGUGGCUAGUCCAAAUAAAAUAUGGGCUUGGGGAUGGAAUGGGUGGUGGUAAGUUCACAGAGUGUAGUUAGAUCCCAACUCCCAUGACCUCUGGCUUCAGUGGUGGGUGGGGCAGGGCAGAUGAAAGGGCUUCAGUGGGAACCUCUGAGAGCAUUUUCCUGUUCCCCCUAUCAACCGCCCCCAGUGAUAACAUCUGUGAAGCCAGCCAUUACUCAAUAAACUGCAAACUUGUCU
rnacentral:lncRNA from 1 species